UACGUAGGGUGCGAGCGUUGUCCGGAAUUAUUGGGCGUAAAGAGCUCGUAGGCGGUGUGUCACGUCGGCCGUGAAAACCUGCAGCUUAACUGUGGGCGUGCGGUCGAUACGGGCAUCACUGGAGUUCGGCAGGGGAGACUGGAAUUCCUGGUGUAGCGGUGAAAUGCGCAGAUAUCAGGAGGAACACCGGUGGCGAAGGCAGGUCUCUGGGCCGGUACUGACGCUGAGGAGCGAAAGCGUGGGGAGCGAACAGG
rnacentral:rRNA from 1 species